rnacentral:rRNA from 1 species
AGUGGCGCCGGGUGAGUAACACGUGACUAACCUACCCUGGAGUGGGGGAUAACUGAGGGAAACCUUAGCUAAUACCGCAUAACACCUACGGGUCAAAGGAGCAAUUCGCUUCAGGAGGGGGUCGCGGCCGAUUAGUUAGUUGGCGGGGUAACGGCCCACCAAGACGAUGAUCGGUAUCCGGCCUGAGAGGGCGCACGGACACACUGGAACUGAAACACGGUCCAGACUCCUACGGGAGGCAGCAGUGGGGAAUUUUGCGCAAUGGGGGAAACCCUGACGCAGCAACGCCGCGUGGAGGAUGAAGUCCUUCGGGACGUAAACUCCUUUCGAUCGGGACGAUUAUGACGGUACCGGAAGAAGAAGCCCCGGCUAACUUCGUGCCAGCAGCCGCGGUAAUACGAGGGGGGCGAGCGUUGUUCGGAAUUAUUGGGCGUAAAGGGUGCGUAGGCGGUUUGGUAAGUCUGAUGUGAAAUCUAUGGGCUCAACUCAUAGUCUGCAUCGGAAACUGCCGGGCUUGAGUGUGGGAGAGGUGAGUGGAAUUCCUGGUGUAGCGGUGAAAUGCGUAGAUAUCAGGAGGAACACCUGUGGCGAAAGCGGCUCACUGGACCAUAACUGACGCUGAUGCACGAAAGCUAGGGGAGCAAACAGGAUUAGAUACCCUGGUAGUCCUAGCCCUAAACGAUGACUGCUUGGUGUGACGGGUACCCAAUCCCGCCGUGCCGUAGCUAACGCGUUAAGCAGUCCGCCUGGGGAGUACGGUCGCAAGGCUGAAACUCAAAGGAAUUGACGGGGGCCCGCACAAGCGGU